rnacentral:rRNA from 1 species
GACGAACCGUCCGAACGUUAUUCGGAAUCACUGGGCUUACAGAGUUCGUAGGCGGUCCGGCAAGUUGGGUGUGAAAUCCCUUGGCUCAACCAAGGAACUGCGCUUGAUACUGCCGGACUCGAGGGAGAUAGAGGAAAGCGGAACUGAUGGUGGAGCGGUGAAAUGCGUUGAUAUUAUCAGGAACACCGGUGGCGAAGGCGGCUUUCUGGGUCUCUUCUGACGCUGAGGAACGAAAGCUAGGGGAGCGAACGGGAUUAGAUACCCCGGUAGUCCUAGCCGUAAACGAUGAGCACUAGGUCGUGGGCCUCCACAGGCCCUCGGCCGUAGCGAAAGUGUUAAGUGCUCCGCCUGGGGAGUAUGGUCGCAAGGCUGAA